rnacentral:rRNA from 1 species
UACGAAGGGUGCAAGCGUUACUCGGAAUUACUGGGCGUAAAGCGUGCGUAGGUGGUUUGUUAAGUCUGUUGUGAAAGCCCUUGGCUUAACCGAGGAAGUGCAUCCGAAACUGGCGAGCUAGAGUACGAAAGAGGAUCGCGGAAUUCCCGGUGUAGAGGUGAAAUUCGUAGAUAUCGGGAGGAACACCGGUGGCGAAGGCGGCGAUCUGGGUCGAUACUGACGCUGAGGUGCGAAAGCGUGGGGAGCAACAGG